rnacentral:rRNA from 1 species
AAGAAUAAAUGACGGUACCAUUUAUAAGCUCCGGCUAACUACGUGCCAGCAGCCGCGGUAAUACGUAGGGAGCAAGCGUUGUUCGGAUUUACUGGGCGUAAAGGGCGCGUAGGCUGCGCGGUAAGUCACUUGUGAAAUCUCUGAGCUUAACUCAGAACGGCCAAGUGAUACUGCUGUGCUAGAAUGCGGAAGAGGCAACCG